rnacentral:lncRNA from 1 species
UUUACGUAUGUAUAUAACUUUGUUGUAACUUGUUGGUGUGUUAAAUUUGUAUGUAGACUUAGAUGUGUCAGCGUAAUAACUGAAACAAAAUGAUGAGGUGUCAAAGAUAAAAUCAGCCACGUUGUUGAUGUCAAAGUAAUGUAUUGUAACACCUCACAUGCUCCACAGAGACUAACAUUAAAUAAAUUAAAACAGCAAGCAUAUAACAGCUCGAAACUUCCACAUAAAUACAAAUAGAAUAAAUUUUUUUACUAACGAGAAAUAAAACAUAAAAUAUUUAAAUAUUACAAAGAAAUUAACGAACGUUAUAUAUUUAAAAUUAGUAUAAUUUUUUAAUAAAGAAUGAUUAAUGGACACCUCUUUGACAAGAAUGGCUCUAUCACUGUCUAACAUAACAGCUCGAAACUUCCACAUAAAUACAAAUAAAGGAGUAAAUAUUUUUACUAACGAGAAAUAAAACAUAAAAUAUUUAAAUAGUAUGAAGAAAUUAACAAACGGUAUAUAUUUAAGAUAGUAUAAUUUUUUAAUAAAGAAUGAUUAAUGGAUACCUCUUUGACCAGAAUGACUUUGUCACUGUCUAACAUAACAGCUUGAAACUUCCACAUAAAUUACAAAUAAAGGAGUAAAUUUUUUUUACUAACGAGAAAUAAAACAUAAAAUAUUUAAAUAGUAUGAAGAAAUUAACAAACGGUAUAUAUUUAAGAUAGUAUAAUUUUUUAAUAAAGAAUGAUUAAUGAACACCUCUUUGACAAGAAUGACUCUGUCACUGUCUAACAUAACAGCUCGAAACUUCCACAUACAAACAACGGAGUAAAU